AGAGGAGAGCAGACAAGCCAGACAGGGAAAAAAAGGGAAAGAAAACGCAGGGUAAGAACAUACUGUACAAAUCAUCUACUGUGAAAGUGAGGUCAGCAGAUGCUGAUCAGCCAAUGAGCAUCUUGAUCUGUUACAACAUGAGGAAACUGCAUAAUGCACCUCUUAUUAUUUCAUCCAUUUCCCAGGGAAUUGCACGAACAGAAGCAUUAUUAUUCAAAGCAGACACAUCGGCAGUUAUUGACGUCUCGGUGAUGAUACCUAGAGCGAAGACUAUCAAGAAACAAGGCCAUUUUCUUGUCCUCAUGUUGAAUCAAGUCGAGUGAUGCACCCGGACGGCCCGUCAGUCACAAGGACGGACAGCCUCACUAUUGACAAAGCUGACAAAUGAACAAAAUCAGGACUCUGUGUUUCUGCAAGGAGAACCAUUUCACAUGGAUCGAAGGCCACAGAUUCAGCAAAAGAAGGAUUUGAGAGAGAGAGAGAGAGAGAGAGAGAGAGAGGUGUGGGGAAGCGAUGCAGUCCGGUGCGUGACUGCUAUCUCUUUGAUUUUGCCUGAUGGAUGAUUGAUUAUUUGUGGAAAUACACAGAUGGUUUCUGAGUUGAAGCUAACUGGGAUGGUCGCCUGGUCGCCAAAGUUAAUUUGUUUCUUAUUCCCAGGGUUGUGAAACUGACCGCUGCUUACACAAAAUAACGUGAAAUUUAACUACCACUGGCUCUCUCUGUCUUUUGCUAUUUCUACAUGUCUUUAUUUUAGCUUAAAGUAGGUUUAAGUAACAACAGACUUACUUUUUCUCUUACUUUUUACUCUUUUUAUGUCACUUAAAAUAGCUGUGGAUGGUCAGACAACCUUUCCUGUCUAAACUGUUGGUUCUUGGGCCAAAUAAGCUGCUAUUUUGACAGGACUUUCAGACAAAA
rnacentral:lncRNA from 12 species